rnacentral:rRNA from 1 species
AGUGAACGCUGGCGGCGUGCCUAAUACAUGCAAGUCGAACGGAGUGGCGCACGGGUGGGUAAUGUAUAGCUAAACUGCCCUACACUAGAGGACAACAGUUGGGAACGACUGCUAAUACUCUAUAGUGUAGGAUGUGGCUAUAUUGUAUCAGCUAGUUGGUGAGGUAAUGGCUCACCAAGGCUAUGACGCAUAACUGGUCUGAGAGGAUGAUCAGUGACACUGGAACAGGGGCACGAUGCAGAGACAUACGGGAGGGGGCAGAAGGGAAUAUUGCGCAAUGGGGUGAGCCCUGAGGCGGCAACGGGGGGGUGAGGAGGAGACGUGGCGGAGCGUAAACUCCGUUUGUUAGGGAAUCGGUACCUAUCCAAUAAGCGCCGGCUAACUCCGUGCCAGCAGCCGCGGUAAUAC